CCUACGGGAGGCUGCAGUGAGGAAUAUUGGUCAAUGGGCGGAAGCCUGAACCAGCCAAGUAGCGUGCAGGAUGACGGCCCUACGGGUUGUAAACUGCUUUUAUACGGGAAUAACGCGCCUUACGUGUAGGUCUUUGCAUGUACCGUAUGAAUAAGGACCGGCUAAUUCCGUGCCAGCAGCCGCGGUAAUACGGAAGGUCCGGGCGUUAUCCGGAUUUAUUGGGUUUAAAGGGUGCGUAGGCGGAAGAUCAAGUCAGCGGUAAAAUUGAGAGGCUCAACCUAAUCGUGCCGUUGAAACUGGUUUUCUUGAGUGAAUUAGAAGUAUGCGGAAUGCGUGGUGUAGCGGUGAAAUACAUAGAUAUCACGCAGAACUCCGAUUGCGAAGGCAGCAUACCGGCGCUCAACUGACACUCAUGCACGAAAGUGUGGGUAUCGAACAGGAUUAGAUACCCCAGUAGUC
rnacentral:rRNA from 1 species